rnacentral:rRNA from 1 species
UACGGAGGGGGCUAGCGUUGUUCGGAAUUACUGGGCGUAAAGCGCGCGUAGGCGGAUCUGCAAGUCGGGGGUGAAAUCCCGAGGCUCAACCUCGGAACUGCCUUCGAUACUGCGGGUCUCGAGUCCGGGAGAGGUGAGUGGAAUUCCUAGUGUAGAGGUGAAAUUCGUAGAUAUUAGGAAGAACACCAGUGGCGAAGGCGGCUCACUGGCCCGGUACUGACGCUGAGGUGGCGAAAAGCGGUGGGGAGCAAACAGG